rnacentral:rRNA from 1 species
AUUGAACGCUGGCGGCAGGCCUAACACAUGCAAGUCGAGCGGUAGAGAGAAGCUUGCUUCUCUUGAGAGCGGCGGACGGGUGAGUAAUGCCUAGGAAUCUGCCUGGUAGUGGGGGAUAACGUUCGGAAACGAACGCUAAUACCGCAUACGUCCUACGGGAGAAAGCAGGGGACCUUCGGGCCUUGCGCUAUCAGAUGAGCCUAGGUCGGAUUAGCUAGUUGGUGAGGUAAUGGCUCACCAAGGCGACGAUCCGUAACUGGUCUGAGAGGAUGAUCAGUCACACUGGAACUGAGACACGGUCCAGACUCCUACGGGAGGCAGCAGUGGGGAAUAUUGGACAAUGGGCGAAAGCCUGAUCCAGCCAUGCCGCGUGUGUGAAGAAGGUCUUCGGAUUGUAAAGCACUUUAAGUUGGGAGGAAGGGCCAUUACCUAAUACGUGAUGGUUUUGACGUUACCGACAGAAUAAGCACCGGCUAACUCUGUGC